AUGAUACAUCCUCAUCUAACUCUUUUCCCCUCCCCAGGCCCAGAGCCAAUGAAAAGCUCUGUGUGUAAAGGUGACCCUGACUCAAAACUGAGAGAGAUCUAUAAUCCCGGUGUCCAAUCAGGGGACAGGAGGAAGCGUCCGCUGCGAUCUGACUCUGAGGGUGCUCCCGCGGAAACGCGGCGUCGCCUGGAAGAGCUCCGCCAGAGAGGGCGGAGUGUGUCAGCCUCCUCAGACCUGGGCAGCGAGAGCGAGGGAGAGGCGAGAGCGUGGGAGCAGGGGGGAGACAGCGCGAGGGUCAAACGAGAGGAGGGGCCUUCGAAACGAGGCGGGGAGACCCCCAUGAGGGGCGAGAGGGGCGGCGGGGUGCACAACGGCCGUGCGGUAAUCCAGCACCUGAAGAGUGUAGUGUCCUCGCCUCUCUCUGGCCACGCCAACAUCAAGACUGAACAUGAGGCACUGGCCGCAGGGGGUCGCUGGACACACAUGCACACCUCCUCACACAUACAACCCCCACCCUCACACACACACACACCCUGCGGCAGCCUGAACGGCGACAGUCCCCUCACCCCUAUCCCAGACUCCUCCUCCAGCAGUGAAGCCCCACCCAAUGGUAUUUUCACCCCGCCCUCCCCCGCCAUGUCCCCUCCCAUGUCCGGCUCCUCCCCUCUACCAUGUGAGGAGCGGGGAAUGUUGUCUGGAGGCAGGGGGGGCGGGCCUGACUUUGAGCUGUUGCAUAGACUGGCAGCGGGGGGUGCUGCAGGACGUGUGCUGUUUCACCCCCUGGCCCUCGGCCCCCAGGGGCCACAGAGCCUGUACGCCCCCAGUACCAUCCGCUAUGCGCCCCCAGAGCUGCCCCACUCUCACCCCGGUGCUGAGGGGCUGCGCUCCGACCACCACAAGGGUCCCCCAGCCUUCUUCCCUCACCUCCAGAGGCUGGCCGGCUUGCCCUCCUUCAGUGGGUUCUCCGCCUCGGACAAUCCCUUCAACCCCUUCUGUAUGAACGGACUGAGGGGGGCCGCAGGGUCUGAGGAGGACUGA
ensembl:lncRNA